rnacentral:rRNA from 1 species
GUCUAUGGCCAUACCACCCAGAAUGCACCUGAUCUUGUCUGGACUUAGAAACUAAGUGGGGUCAGGCUUGGUUAGUACAUGGAUGGGAGAAAUCCUUUUCUCUCUGACUUUGAUAGGCCAGAAAUG